GAUGAAGAACGUAGCGAAAUGCGAUACGUAAUGUGAAUUGCAGAAUUCAGUGAAUCAUCAAGUCUUUGAACGCACAUUGCGCCCCCUGGUAUUCCGGGGGGCAUGCCUGUCCGAGCGUCAUUACAACCCUCAAGCUCAGCUUGGUGUUGGGCCCCGCCGCCCCGGCGGGCCCUAAAGUCAGUGGCGGUGCCGUCCGGCUCCGAGCGUAGUAAUUCUUCUCGCUCUGGAGGUCCGGUCGUGUGCUCGCCAGCAACCCCCAAUUUUUUUCAGGUUGACCUCGGAUCAGGUAGGGAUACCCGCUGAACUUAAGCAUAUCAAUAAGCGGAGGA
rnacentral:misc_RNA from 1 species